UCGCGGCUUAUCACCGGCAGUCUCCUUAGAGUGCUCAACUAAAUGGUAGCAACUAAGGACGGGGGUUGCGCUCGUUGCGGGACUUAACCCAACAUCUCACGACACGAGCUGACGACAGCCAUGCAGCACCUGUCUCCGGUCCAGCCGAACUGAAGAGCUCCAUCUCUGGAGCCCGCGACCGGCAGUUCAAACCCCGGUAAGGUUCUUCGCGUUGCGUCGAAUUAAACCACAUCAUCCACCGCUUGUGCGGGCCCCCGCCAAUUCCUUUGAGUUUUAAUCUUGCGACCGUACUCCCCAGGCGGAUGACUUCUCGCGUUAGCUGCGUUACUAAAGGAUUUAACUCCUCCAACAACUAGUCAUCAUCGUUUAGGGCGUGGACUAC
rnacentral:misc_RNA from 1 species